rnacentral:rRNA from 1 species
UGGGGAAUAUUGGACAAUGGGCGCAAGCCUGAUCCAGCCAUGCCGCGUGAGUGACGAAGGCCUUAGGGUUGUAAAGCUCUUUUUGGCGGGGAAGAUAAUGACGGUACCCGCAGAAUAAGCUCCGGCUAACUUCGUGCCAGCAGCCGCGGUAAUACGAAGGGAGCUAGCGUUGUUCGGAAUCACUGGGCGUAAAGCGCACGUAGGCGGAUUGUUUAGUCAGGGGUGAAAUCCCGGAGCUCAACUUCGGAACUGCCUUUGAUACUGGCAAUCUCGAGUCCGAUAGAGGUGGGUGGAAUUCCUAGUGUAGAGGUGAAAUUCGUAGAUAUUAGGAAGAACACCGGUGGCGAAGGCGGCUCACUGGCUCGAUACUGACACUGAGGUGCGAAAGCGUGGGGAGCAAACAGGAUUAGAUACCCCUGUAGUCCCUGAGCGGGCUGGCAAGGCGCAU